rnacentral:rRNA from 1 species
GACCAACCCUUAAAGACUGCUGCAUCUUUAGGACAUUCUAGUCCAACAUCGAGGUCACAAACUCCCUUUUCGAUAAGAGCUCUCAAAGAGAAUUAUGCUGUUAUCCCUAUGGUAACUAAUUCCAUUGAUCAAAAUUUCUGGAUCAAUACUUGUAAGUCUUAUUAGUUAUAAAGAAGCUUUAUUUGUUCCAUAGUCGCCCCAACCAAAAUCCAAAGUAGACUAACAUCUAGAAUUAUAUAUUAUUCUCAACUUAUUUUUUUAAAGCUCAAUAGGGUCUUCUUGUCUUUCAAUAAUAUCUAGGUUUCCUCACCCAGAAAUCAAGUUCUAAAAAAUUACAUAGAGACAGCUUUGUUCACGUCAAACCAUUCAUACUAGCCCUCAAUUAUAGGGCAAAUGAUUAUGCUACCUUUGCACGGUCAGAGUACCGCGGCCGUUAAAAUAUGCUCACUGGGCAGGUCCGACUC